CGAAGGGGGCUAGCGUUGCUCGGAAUUACUGGGCGUAAAGGGAGCGUAGGCGGAUAGUUUAGUCAGAGGUGAAAGCUCAGGGCUCAACCUUGGAAUUGCCUUUGAUACUGGCUAUCUUGAGUACGGAAGAGGUAUGUGGAACUCCGAGUGUAGAGGUGAAAUUCGUAGAUAUUCGGAAGAACACCAGUGGCGAAGGCGACAUACUGGUCCGUUACUGACGCUGAGGCUCGAAAGCGUGGGGAGCAAACAGGAUUAGAUACCCUGGUAGUCCACGCUGUAAACGAUGAGUGCUAGUUGUCGGCAGGCAUGCCUGUCGGUGACGCAGCUAACGCAUUAAGCACUCCGCCUGGGGAGUACGGUCGCAAGAUUA
rnacentral:rRNA from 1 species